rnacentral:rRNA from 1 species
GACGAACGCUGGCGGCGUGCCUAAUACAUGCAAGUCGAACGCACAGUUUAUACCGUAGCUUGCUACACCAUAGACUGUGAGUUGCGAACGGGUGAGUAACGCGUAGGUAACCUGCCUGGUAGCGGGGGAUAACUAUUGGAAACGAUAGCUAAUACCGCAUAAUAUUGAUUAUUGCAUGAUAAUUAAUUGAAAGGUGCAAUUGCACCACUACCAGAUGGACCUGCGUUGUAUUAGCUAGUAGGUGAGGUAACGGCUCACCUAGGCGACGAUACAUAGCCGACCUGAGAGGGUGAUCGGCCACACUGGGACUGAGACACGGCCCAGACUCCUACGGGAGGCAGCAGUAGGGAAUCUUCGGCAAGGGACGAAAGUCUGACCGAGCAACGCCGCGUGAGGGAAGAAGGGUGUCGGAUCGUAAAGCUCGGUUGUAAGAGAAGAACGGGUGUGAGAGUGGAAAGUUCACACUGUGACGGUAUCUUACCAGAAAGGGACGGCUAACUACGUG